AGUGAACGCUGGCGGUAGGCCUAACACAUGCAAGUCGAACGGCAGCACAGUAAGAGCUUGCUCUUACGUGUGUCGAGUGGCGGACGGGUGAGGAAUACAUCGGAAUCUACUUUUUCGUGGGUGAUAACGUAGGGAAACUUCCGCUAAUACCGCAUACGACCUACGGGUGAAAGCAGGGGAUCUUCGGACCUUUCGCGAUGGAAUGAGCCGAUGUCGGAUUAGCUAGUUAGCGGGGUAAAGGCACACCAAGGCGACGAUCCGUAUCUGGUCUGAGAGGAUGAUCAGACAGACUGGAACUGAGAAACGGUCGAGACUCCGACGGGAGGACGCAGUGGGGAAUAUUGGAGGAGGGGGGCAUGCCUGAUCCAGCCAUACCGCGUGAGUGAAGAAGGAGUUCGGGUUGGAAAGCCAUUUUGUUGGGAAAGAAAAGAAGCAGUUUAAUCCCGCACUGUUAUGACGGUACCCAAAGAAUAAGCACCGGCUAACUUCGUG
rnacentral:rRNA from 1 species